rnacentral:lncRNA from 1 species
AAGACUUGUUUCUCCCCCAGGGUAGAGCUUUUGUGACAUCACACUAGAGCUGGAGGUAGAGAUAGUGACCUAGUUCUCAUGGAGUAGCACUGUUUGAGGAGGGCUCACUGGGAACAUGAUACGGUGGUCCCUAGUUUUCCUGGUUUGCCUUCCUCAAAGUAAAAUCUCUGCCUUAUGAAUGAGCUGAACAGGAUCAACUGGGACCCUGCUUUGGAUCAGCAUGACAUGCCUGGGGGGAGUUUCUAAUUUAUGAAUGAGGCUCCUUGGGGAAGAGAGACCUGAUCUCUCUGCUGCUCUUGCCUGGAAUAAAGCUCCUACAACAAGGGACUGAGAGAUGAGAAAAACCUGACAGCAUGCUCUUCACAAGUUGGAAAUGUAGUCCUACACUGAUGCUAUGAGGAAAGGGAGCCUCCAUCUUCAUCACUGUACUUACCAGAAUGAGAGCUCCUGGAACAUUUUCAUAAGAAGUGAUGUGGGGGAAGAAAAAGGACAGGAAUAGAUCUAUCUAUCAGAAAUUUUAUAAAUUUCUGACAUGAAGAAACAACUGGAAGGGAGUGCAGGAUGCCAAGAAGUAUGGAAAUAAUUUUCUCUUGCACUUUCUUUGUAUCAAGGACUGUCCCAGUUAUAUGACCCCUAUAAUAAAGGUGAAAAUAAAUGUUUCCAGAAGAAAAAUGAGUCCAGUGGGAAUGUGUCAAACGUUUUAAUCAACAGCCUAAAUCUUUGGAGGAGAAAUGAUAAGUUCUUCUCAGAGUGGAUACAGAAGAGAUAUAGAAGAUGUGAGGAGGAAGAAGGAAAGAAAGAAUUUCCCCAGCAGCAUAUGUAUUUACUGAUGUCCAUGUUGUGGGUGAUUGGAGUUUGAACCACAGUGGUGACUAUAAGCAUCAGCAUAGAAAGACAUGAAUUUUGGAGACAUUUGGGAAGUCGGAGGCUGCAGUUCUUAGGCUUUUAUUAUUCCUUCCCUAAAGAGCUUUCUCUGACUAUACCCAUCUAUAGGAAUGCUUCUUAAGGGGCAAGGACUAGAUUUAUGUUUUUUCCUAGUCCACCUUGUACUAAUACUUUUGUAAAAAGCAAUAAAAAUAAAUUAGUAGAAAAAUGAAAUAGAAAA